CUCGUAGGUGGCCAACUAAGUCAGACGUGAAAUCCCUCGGCUUAACCGGGGAACUGCGUCUGAUACUGGAUGGCUUGAGUUCGGGAGAGGGAUGCGGAAUUCCAGGUGUAGCGGUGAAAUGCGUAGAUAUCUAGAGGAACACCGGUGGCGAAGGCGGCAUCCUGGACCGACACUGACGCUGAGGAGCGAAAGCCAGGGAGCAAACG
rnacentral:rRNA from 1 species